CUUUACUCAGUCUCUUGAUUUAAAUGUCAAUCUCUUUCAAAAACUCCCUCACAGACACAUCCAGAAUAAUAUUUGACCAAAUUUCUGGGCCCAGUCAACUUGACACAUAAAAUUAACCAUCCUAGAUAUGUUGUCCUGAUCUUACCUUGGAUGCCAAACCCUUGGCAGACCUUGGAGACAGGACUUUUUCUCUACUGUGGGCCAGAUCAAAAUGCUGCCCUUGGCUUCCUCCUCCAGGAACCAUGUAUGCCCUUCCCCACCCUGAACAGAGGAGGUUUUCUCCCAUUUCAUGGCCAAGGGGAGGAAGUAGAUUUCAGUUCCGUAUCCCAUCCGUGACUCCCCAGAUCCUUCUAAUUCACCUGUCUGGACACCUGGACACAGCAAGCGCACCCCAUGCAGGGUGGAGAGGUCCAGGGUGGGGGCCAGGGGGAGGAUGUGAUGACCCGAGGCAGCGCGGGUCUCAGGAGCGGGUGAGCAGCCCUAUCCUGUUCUCGGAUGUGGCCGGGUCCCGGGGGUGUGUCCUGCGCCUCUGGGCGGUGUCACUGCCGCUCUUUCAAAGGCUUUGCGUCACUGGGGUCACACAUCCCCCCGAUUCCCCCCGAGCCUCGCUCCCCUUUGCACCUGCUUGGCGGCCACAGCGCCUGCGAUUUGGCUCCGCAUCAGGUGUGCGGAGGUUGCAGUAAACUGCUCCGAGUCUUCCAGAAGGGCGGGGUGAGGCGCAGGCAAGGGGCGGCCAGUCCAGGGUCGGCGCAGCCUCCCCCCUCCCCCCUCGUGGGUACCAGUCGGGUGGUGCAGGCGCGGCCCGGCCAGGGGUCUCCUCGGUCCGCCGCGGCGCUCGGGCGACCCCUGGCGGCCGCGUCCGGCAGCGCAUCCCGUCCAAGGCGGGCGUGCAGCGCCCUCUGCCGGCCGACGGCCGCCCGGCUCUUUUCCCGCGUCUUGGCUUGGGGUGGGGGAGAGGGGGUGCCGUUAUGACCCUAUUUUACAGUUAAGUAAACUGAGGUACAGAGAAGCUAAAUAAUUUACCCAAGGUGGAACUGGCUGAGAAGGGACAUGAAUCGGGGCAUUGUGACUGCAGAGUCUGCGUGGGGUCCGCGACAGCUGAUAGGACCUCAAGUUGGGUCAACAAAACGUGUCCGCAGAGCCUUCCCCGGGCCGGCUGACCUGACCGCUCCCGGGAGCGUAUUGAGCCCUGGGAACCCCACUUUCGGAAAGUCAUCAGCAAACCACAUUCCAGACUGUGUGGCCAGGAUGGUGGGAGGGCUCAAAAUCCAGUCACAUGAGGAGGAAUGGGAAGAGUGGCGUGUUUUAGCUCAGAGAAGGGGCCUCGGGGACUCCCGCACCUGAAGGGCUGCGUGGGGAAGAGGGUCCGGAGCGCCUUGGAUUCCGUGGUGGAGGCUGUAGGCAGGAGAUCUCUGCAGUCCAGAACCUUCCAUGGGCCAGGGCUGUGCUCUCCCUGCGGGCCCAGGGUAGGCCCCCAGGCCGCGUGCUGGCAGGCGUGGGGUGGGAUGGAUGCGGGGAGACCCUCGGCGGCGCUGACCGCUUGUGCAGGGUAUGCGGGCGCUGGGAUUGGGAGCAGGGCCGGCACAGGCCGGCUGCUCUCUCCUCCUGGGGGGGCGGGGGUGGGGGGGGGGCCCACGGGGUCGGAGCGCUCCGGGGGUGGGCGUGCACGGGGCCGGCUCGGCGGGGGAACGUGUCACCUCGGCAUCACGAGGGGAGCUGCAGACCUGGGGCAAGCAGGGAUGGGGAGCAGAGCGUGGUCCCAGCCGCAGGCGGUGACUGGGGAGCGUCCUAAAGUCCGAGGGGGCCCCUUCUGCCAGCCCGCAGGGGAGCGGGGAGGGGGCGCCCCGGAGAACAGCCAGCCUUCGGUUCCCCCGCUUUCUCUGGGUCUUGUGAUGUCGUGUUUUGUUUUUAGUGGCAGCCCCUUGGUGGGGUGGGCGCUGAGGCCACCAGAGGCGGGCGCCCCCUUCUCCACUGCGCGUGCCCUGCCGGCUGGGUGCGGGGGGGUGUUUCGGGUACUGAGGAAACAGGUCAUCCUCCUGUUCGUGCAGUGUUGAACCCGAAGCACAGGUACCACCCCACGAGGGGAAACUGAGGCACAAGGGCGCGGAAGAGGGUGCUGCAGGUUAGGUUCUCCAGGAGGCCAACCCUGAGCCAGAGUCAGGGGAGCAAAAGAUUUAUUGGGGAGCAGCACCGGUGGAGAGAAGGGACGAGCAGGGGUGGGUAGGAGGGGUUGGUAAACUGAUGUUCGGAUCUGCUGCGCGCGCCUCCGACAGCCCGGUGGAGCUCCGAGCCAUCGCUGCCCGUCGGAGGAGCCCGCGUGGGGCGGAAGGGGCUGGGCCCUCGCACCCUCCCUCACUCUGGCUGCAGGGCCCGAGAAGAUGACCUUGACCUUGGCAGCCGAGGCAGACCCCGUCCUCGGGUUAGCCAUCCGCUGACCCCCCCCUCCCUGCAGCUGGGUAGCCUCUUGCUCCUGAGGAGCUCAGCUCUGAGUCUGCCCUAGCGCGGGGUGGACCUCGUGCCUCAGGGCCCAGGGCUCCCCUAGAGGCCACCCCGAUGGGGUCGUCAAGCUCCUCCCCAUUGCCCAGGGAGGAGGGGUGGUCUCCCAACUGCUGGGCCCUGGACCCCCAGUGAGGCCGGGGUUGACUUCUUAGGGUCGUCCUGUCCCUGGUGGCUCACGUCUGGCAGAUGUGGCUUCACCAGGGGCCUGAGCACAGAGUGCGUGUGGCCUGCAGGCACAGCUCAGAGUGGCAGUGGCCCAACAGGAAGGCCACCUGCCUUCUUCAGGGCGACAGUGUCGGACCUGAGCAUCUCGCUCACUCCAGCCCUGUCCUUGACCCCUGCCUGGACCCAGUGUGCAGGUCGCCUGCUGGCCUCGGGGUCUCUCUGCCCCUGUGGGUGUCUGUCCACUCUUCCUCCUGGGCCAGCAGUGAUGGCAGGUCACAGGCCAGGGGUGCUGGGGCCUCCCCUCAGGACACCCAGCCCCCCACCAGGAGCAGAGCUCUGGACCUCCCACCCCUCUGCUCUCAUCCCCUUUCCUCCGGCCCAGGGGUCCCCAGGCCACCCAGGGAGGGGCCCAGCCCACUUACUGGUGUUGCCAGAUGCAGUGGGUGACGAUGUGGCCCUCUGGAGCCCCUCCCCCCAUGCCUCUCUCCCACGCCCUGCUGCUCCUUGUCCAGGGGCAGGUGCAAGGUGACAGUCACUCAAAACUGGCAUUCAUUUCCCUAAAACGCUAAAAACAAGCCAAGUCUGCCCCUGUCUUAGACCAUAUAGGAAAAUACUGCAGCCUGGCCCUUAAACCACAGACACUUAUUUCUCACACUUCCCGAUGCUCAGAGUCCAAUCUCAAGGGCUGGGCAGACGCGGGGUCUGGAGUGAGCCGGCUCCCUGGCGCACAGACGGAUGGCUUCUCACUGCGUCCUCACGUGACCGAAGGGGCAGAGAGCUCUUCUCAGUCUCCUUCAUAAUGAUGCUAAUCCCAUUCCUGAGGGCCCCGCCCUCAUGCCCUAAUCACCCCCGGAGGCCCCACCUCCUAACACCAUCACCUUGGGGCUUAGGUCUCAGCCUAUGACUUUGGGCACACAUUCAGCACUGAGCGGCUCCGUGGAAUUCCUCACCGUGCAAACCCUGACGCGGCUGCUGGUGGUGGGCCGUCUUCUCUGGUCCUUCCCUCCAGCUCCGAAGGCUUUGACCUCACAGGGCAGGACUCUGGAACAACCCAGAUGGCUAGAAAGUGGUGUCGGGCUGGGGGUGCGGUGCCUGGGGGCCCUGAGCGGCUGGCGGGUGAGGGCCACCUGCCAGCUUCCUGCCCUCGGCUGCCUGCCGCCGGCCAGCUCCGUCUCCAGCUCCAGCGAGGCCUCUCAGGACCAGGCACCGUGCACCUAGCCCGGAACCAGGAGGGAUGCUUGGGGCUGGAGGCUGCCCCAGCGGGGACCAGGCUGUCCCACUUCACAGACCCGGAAAGCCAGAGCGCGCGGGGAGAGCCGCCUGAGGUCGCCCAGCAGUGGAUGUCCGCUCCGGAAUCGGGAGUCCUCACACCCCGUCUGGGCAUUUAAAGCACCAGAUCACAUUGCCCACCCCCAGCAGACGGUGAUUGUCUCCUUUCUCUGCUGCUAGGAGCAGGAUGUUUAUGCUUUAUUUUAGGAAGUACUUAGCACGUAUUGAGCACCUGCUGUGUGCUGGGCGCUGUGCUGGGAACACGAAGAGAUAAAACGGUCUUUGUGACUGGCGAGCAUGCUCCCUCACUGCGGGUCGUCCUGAGGUCACAGAGAACUCUGCAAACCGGAAGGUCGGUCUCCACGUUGCUUUAUUCAGGCGCCCAGGGCCCUCCUCUUACUCUGCCUGGUCUGAAUUUCUUUCCUUCAGCCACAGGACCUGACAAUCUUAUUCUUGGCUCCCAGUGAGUUUUUUGUGGCCGGGGCCCAAAUUUCCCCAGCAAGGCUGCUAUAAAGCAAGCGUGCUCCCCACGUGGAGGCCAGUCCCUGGAGCUAGGUCCCCAGCCUGGGUGGCACCAAGCGCCUGUCCUGAGCCAAGCCUGUCGCUCAGCCCAGAGUUAAGGGAUCUGAGACGCUCAGGGAGGCCUGAGGCUUCAUCACACACCCGUCCUGGUAGAGACCCCACCGGGGUGAAUGGAGGGAUGGAAGGUGCCAGGACAGAGGGCGCUGAGACCCGCUGCCCUGCCCGAGGUAGCCAGGGCCGCCAUAGCUCAGGGCCACAGCCUGGGUGGCUGCCCAGCAGAAACGUGUCACCUACAGUCUGGAGGCGGGAAGUCCGAGCUCAAGGAGCGGGCAGGCUGGCUCCUUCUGAGGCUGCCAGGGAGGACCUGCUCCAGCCCCGCUCCUUGGCUGGCAGAUGGCCGCCUCCUCCCUGUGUCUUCACGUGCUCUCGUCUGUGCCCAAACUUCCCUUCUCCUGAGGACUCCGUCAUGACCUCAUUACCUCUUGAUUACCUCUGCAAAGACCCUGUCUCCAAACAAGGGCACAUUCUGGCGCACUGGGGGUUAGGACAACAGCAAAGGAACCUGGGGGGACACAAUUCCACCCCUAACUCUGAGUCGCCACGAUCACCCGUGUCCGGGGCAGGGGCUCACUGUCUAUUUCGGAGUCGGCCGCGUGGUGUCUGUCUCCCACGGCCGGGGCUCUGGGCGUGUCCUGUAGGGAGCCGUCCUCUGAGUGGGGCACCUACACCCAUCCCUCCUGGGGCCUCGGGCAGAAUCCCUGAGCACCUGCAGCAGGAAGCUGUGCACGGGAGCGGAAGAUGGAGAAGAAAGAUCCCAGGGCUUGUUCCCGGCCCAGAAACCCCUCUGCAGGGACGCAGGCCUGCCCCACGGGACGGUUUUCCUUCUUGCUGGUGGUUGGGUGGGUGCGGAGGGGCAGGGCUGUGCCAGGGUGGCGGCUGCAGCCAUCUGCUGCCCAUGGAAACUCAGACUGGCAAAUGGCCCUACUGUCAGGGGCGCUGCGUCCCCUCCCUUAGGGUUGCCAGGCUUAGCAAAUACAAACACAGGACUCCCAGUUACAUUUCAGUUUCAGGUUGACAAUAAACACUUAUGAGUGUAUUUCCCGAACAUUGCAGGGACACACCUGGACUACAAAACGACCUGUAGUGGACCUGUUCGACCAGGGGCUCAGCAAGGACCCCUCUGAGGGACAUCGGGCCAGACCUCAAUGAAAUCAAGGGACAGCAGAGCUGAUCUGGGAAAACGGUGGGGGCAGGGGACGGUGGGAGGAAUCCCACAAGGGCCAGUGUGGGGUGGUCUCAGAUUUUAGUUCGAGCUGGUUAAAACCUAGAUCCUGGGGCCAGCCCCGGGGGCCUAGUGGUUAAGUUCAGCAUGCUCCGCGUCUGCGGCCUGGGUUCAGAUCCUGGGCACGGACUUAAGCCACUCAUCUGUUAGCAGCCAUGCUAACUCACACACACACAAAAAGAGGAAAACUGGCAUUGGAUGGCAGCUCAGGGCAAAUCUUCCUCAGGAAACAAAAAAAAAAGGAGAUCCUGGGUCCUGCCUCUAAUUUAGUAGGUGUAGGGCAGGCACAGGACUCACCGUCUUAAAGAAGCCCCCUUAGAGUCUGUCUUACUCCCUCCUCCUUCCUGCAUUUUCCAUGCACAGCCCAGGGGGUUGACUCACUGUCUUGGGGUCAGAGCUGGGAAGCUGCUCACGGGUCACCUGGUGUAAACCCCUCCUGCUACCGACAGCUCCAGGGUCUCUAGGGACCUCGCGGACAGGGGUGAAGAGAAGCUGGCGCCGCGCCUGGUCUUCAGCUCCCGCAGGUUUCUAGAAGGAGCCCGAGGAGCAGAGGACCGGGCAGGGAGCAGCCGCAGCUACGCGCCCGGGCGGGGAGGCCUCGCGCCUGGCUCCAGCCUCUCCUAGUGGCUUCCACGGCGUCAGGACUUGGAGAACCGCAACGCAGCCCUGGAUCAGAGAGGGCCUUGCACAUAGAUGGUGCUCGUCUGGUGUCCGGGCGCCGCCGGCCCGUCUUCGCCGCACCAGCGGCCCAGCCCCGGUGCACCUGCCAAGGCCGAGGGGAGCAAGCAACAUCCCCGAGACCCUGGGGGCGCCCCAGGCCCGUCACAUGCUCGCCGGGCCUCCGUUUCCCCCGGGGGCUGUGGUGAGCUUGAGAUGAGGAAACGUGUGUGAAGUUGUCGUGUAAACUGUAACACACACAGGUCUUACCCCCCGUCUUCUCCCUGCCUGUCCUUGUCAAGUUACCGGGAGGGGACUUGUCAAGAGUAGAAGACACACUGGGAUGUCCAUCCAGUUUGUGAUGGCCCCUGGUUCUCUGGAGGCAGCACAGUAGAGCCGUGGAGAGAAUCCUGGCUCGCCAUGUACUGGCUGUGUGGCCUUCAGUGGUUACUCAACCUCUCUGUGCCUCAUCCCACAUCUGCAAAAUGGGAGGAAUAGUAGUAACACCUAUCUCAUGGGGUUGUCACGAGGAUUAAACCACGCAUGUAAAGUUCUCAGUUCUGGGCCUGGCUCAGCAGGGGUCAGCUCUGAUUAUGCCCACGCCUGGGGGUGAUGAAGCAGAGACCAGCAAAGGGGGCUCCUGCAGAUUCUUGCUGGCGUCCCCGUGCCCAGACACCAUGCUGCAGCUCCACCU
ensembl:lncRNA